rnacentral:rRNA from 1 species
UACGUAGGGUGCAAGCGUUGUCCGGAAUUAUUGGGCGUAAAGAGCUCGUAGGCGGUCUGUCGCGUCUGCUGUGAAAUCCCGCGGCUCAACUGCGGGUCUGCAGUCGAUACGGGCAGGCUAGAGUUCGGUAGGGGGAGACUGGAAUUCCUGGUGUAGCGGUGAAAUGCGCAGAUAUCAGGAGGAACACCAGCGGCGAAGGCGGCGCUCUGGGCCGGUACUGACACUGAGGAGCGAAAGCGUGGGUAGCAAACAGG